CAACUCCAAAGACGGAACCAGGAAGCAGAGGCCUGAAGAAAAUCAGAGCUUAUGGAAAGGAAUGUGAAAUAAAUAGACUUCCCACUGGCUAAACAUACCAAAGGCACCUCAUUUUCUACCUUUUGAUCAGUUCUAAGGCUACUGAGAAGUCCUCUCAGAUGGAGCAUUUCUGAUGUUCUUCGGCAUCAGUUGCCUCAUACUUCCUGCCAGAGUUGAAAUGGGAAGUCCAAAUUAGGGAGAGAAAUCCCAAGAUGGACGCAGAGCUUCAGUAUUGCUGUCUUGUUUGUUAUCCUCUGCCCUUUGUUUCUUGGCUUUGGCUUUUUCUACAAUUUUUUUUUUUAAACAAUAAUAACCUGGGAGACACAUCAGAGGAGAAGAGUAAGAAAGAAAAGAGAAGAAGGAGAUGAUGAUGAUGAUGAUGAUGAUGAUGAAGAAGAAGAAGAAGAAGAAGAAGAAG